rnacentral:misc_RNA from 1 species
UAAAUGCUGAGGUGCUCUUCAGUAGUGCACAAAUGCACCCAGAAAACAAUAUAAGUGCAGUUUAGUUUCCAGCAAUAAGAUGGAAGAUAAAUAUAUUCACUCAAGUUAGUGAGUUGAUAAGGAGAGAGUUCAAGUUGGUGAGUUGAUAAGGAGAGAGUCUCAUUUCAGAUCCAAUCAGCUAAAAUAUGGUUAAUUGAAAAUAAAAUUUUUCACUCAAGAAGAUUCCAG